GAUGAACGCUGGCGGCGUGCCUAACACAUGCAAGUCGAGCGAACAGACGAUGAGAUUUCGCUCUUGACGUUAGCGGCGGACGGGUGAGUAACAAGUGGAUAACCUACUUAUAUUUCGGGGAUAACUUCGGGAAACCGGUUACAAUACCGGAUCAUAUAUUCAACCGCAGGGUUCAAUAGAUAAUGACGGCUUUGCCGUCACUUUUAGACGAUUCCGCGCCGGAUUAGCUAGUUGGUAAGGUAACGGCUUACCAAGGCAACGAUGCGUAGCUGACCUGAGAGGGUGAUCGGCCACACUGGAACUGAGACACGGUCCAGACUCCUACGGGAGGCAGCAGUGGGGAAUCUUCGGCAAUGGGCGAAAGCCUGACGGAGCAACGCCGCGUGAGUGAUGAAGGUCUUCGGAUCGUAAAGCUCUGUUAUUGGGGAAGAACAACUGUGGAAGUAUAUAUGCACGUCUUGACGGUACCUAAUCAGAAAGCAACGGCUAACUACGUG
rnacentral:rRNA from 1 species